rnacentral:rRNA from 1 species
UACGAAGGGGGCUAGCGUUGCUCGGAAUCACUGGGCGUAAAGCGCGCGUAGGCGGCUUUGUAAGUUAGAGGUGAAAGCCCGGAGCUCAACUCCGGAACUGCCUUUAAAACUGCAUCGCUUGAAUCCGGGGAGAGGUGAGUGGAAUUCCGAGUGUAGAGGUGAAAUUCGUAGAUAUUCGGAAGAACACCAGUGGCGAAGGCGGCUCACUGGACCGGUAUUGACGCUGAGGUGCGAAAGCGUGGGGAGCAAACAGG